CGAUAAUAUCUUUAUGUAGGUGGUUAUACCAUAAGCAAAUGUAAACUUUAAAUGUAGGCUAAAUUUGUAUAUUGAAAUGUUGUUCAAUUUAUUGCACGUGGUUGAAUUUAGGAAUUUAACCAUCUGAUUCAUGUUAGCAUGUGUUGUAUCUCAAUAGUUAUAAUAUAAUGCCAAACUUGUUUCAGAUGCUUCAUUACGUAUGGUACGAAUUAAACGCAUGUUAUAUAAUCCUCUGACCAUUGGAAUUCAUUUGUGUUAAUGGUUUUGUAGACUGAUUUCGAGUUUGUUUUGUCCAAAGAUGAGAGUCUACUUGCGCAAGUAUCUCAGCUCAGCAACUUGAAGUUCAUUAAGACGGUCCUACAGAAUUUGCAUUCAGGUUAGAAAUCGAACUUCCAAAGAUCUUAUCUCAAUUUCCUGGCCAAUUUGCCUGACAUUCAACUUUUAGCCAACUCAAUCAACAACUUCUGCUCUGAUGAUACGUGCAUCUGAAUACCAUUGCUAUUAAGCUCGACUCCUUACAAUAGGAGUGGUAGGAAGAGAGGAAAGAACAUGAAGUAAUAGGACUUUCUUGAUUGGAAAUACAAUGUGAAACAUUUUGAACUUGUUAUUUGUGUUAUUUUGAAAGUUU
rnacentral:lncRNA from 1 species